rnacentral:rRNA from 1 species
CCUACGGGAGGCAGCAGUGGGGGAUAUUGCACAAUGGGGGGAACCCUGAUGCAGCGACGCCGCGUGAGCGAAGAAGUACCUCGGUAUGUAAAGCUCUAUCAGCAGGGAAGAAAAUGACGGUACCUGACUAAGAAGCCCCGGCUAAAUACGUGCCAGCAGCCGCGGUAAUACGUAUGGUGCAAGCGUUAUCCGGAUUUACUGGGUGUAAAGGGAGCGCAGGCGGUGCGGCAAGUCUGAUGUGAAAGCCCGGGGCUCAACCCCGGGACUGCAUUGGAAACUACCGAACUAG